rnacentral:misc_RNA from 1 species
GCGUGACUCGUAACCUAGUUUUCGUCAGCGGAUAUUAAUACUAAGUGUCAUUCUUCUACAAACCUGUAACACAUCUGGAUAAAUUUACAACAGAGUGAGACAAGCGUCUGUGAUUUUGAAACGGGAAAAUCUCUCCUAAAAAAAACUACUAGAGCUUGUCUUAACCGUUACUUCACAGAGGUCAACAAAUUCUGCAUUAAAAGAAAGUUGAAGAUGAAUACAUACUCUUCCUGCAGACUCCAUAUUUAGCCAGACAAGAUGCAGAGCAAUAUGCUUUGUCGCUGUUCGCGAAGAACAAAAUGUAUAACAUUUGUCUUUUGUGUCGUAGUUUCAUCAUUUACGUUAAUAUGGAGGUUAUUUGGAACCUGGCCGUUGUCCAAACAGCGAUUCUAUUACGAACCUGUGCGUCAAAUUGUUACUAAUGAGCCCACGAGUCACGUUAUUAGAAAUCAAUCCAAUCCUUACCAAUAUAUGUUUGGUCCCGCGCUAGUGCCUAACAUUCCAGAAGAGUAUUUCCAUUCGCAUUUAAAUGACAAAUACAUUAUAUACAGAUGCGACGGCAAUGGUUUGUGUGGUGGUUUGGCUGACAGAGAGGAAGGUAUCGUGGCCGGGUUUUUAAUAUCGCAGAUGGUGGGAAGAAAGUUUGGAAUCAGGUUUACGGUACCCUGUGACAUAUCAACGUUUCUCCAACCGAAUCUCGUCAACUGGACGGUGGACACCGGAAACUUCCGAAGUUUCACGAUGAGACGAGUGGAAGUGAUUGACCACGAUGCGUGGAAGUUAAGAGAACAAAUGAUCAAGAUGGAUUUAAAUGUGUCCUAUCCAGAAGAUGUUGUGUAUUUUAAAGUCAAUCAAGAAUUCAUACAGUACUUGUUGAAAAACAAACAUUUCAAGACUCUGAAAUGGGCCGUCAAUUUAACAGUUCCAGAAAUAUACAAUGUAAUUUAUCGAAGAUUAUUUCAACUAAGACCGCACUUAGACCAACAGUUCCACAAGUUUCAAAUCCGCGCCAGAGCGAGGAACCGAAAGCUUGUGUGUACGCAGAUCAGAGUUUGGAAGAACCCUACAAUACCCAAUGACUACGACCCUGGACAAAGGCUGGAUCUAAACAUCAUUUGGGAUUUUUUAAAACAAUACAACGACAGUAGUAAAUAUAGUAUAUUUGUUUCCACAGACUCUGAGGACGUUCGAAAGACUGGCGUGAGACUAUUUCCGGACGCCAUAGUGGAUAUUGGCGGGAACAUCGUCCAUAUUGAACGGUCUAGCGGCCAGCAAGUGUGUGGCGGGUUUGCUAAGGUCAUACUGGAUCAACUGGUUCUCUCCACGUGUGAUGUUUUAAUACUCACAUCUAGUGGCAUCGGCAGAAUCGCGUCUUUCGUCAGAGGAACCAGCGACGAGCUGUACUGUACGUCCAAGGGCAAAGUAGAACGAUGUUCUUUGUCUGAUCCUGGAUAUAUCCCAUAUGGGUGGUAGUUCACGUCAUCUGAACUGUAGGUCUAUAUGUUCAUCAGAUCCUGGAUAUAUUGUAUAUGGGUAGUAGUUCACGUCAGCUAAACUGUAGGUCUAAAGCUUCAUUAGAUCCUGAAUAUAUCCCAUAUGGGCGGUAGUUCACGCCUGCUGAUCUGUACAUCUAUAGGUUCAUUAGAUCCUGGCUAUUUCCCAUAUGGGUGGUAGUUCACGUCAGCUAAACUGUAUGUCUAUAUGUUCAUUGGAUCCUGGCUAUAUCCCAUAUGGUUGGUAGUUCACGUCUGUUAAACUGUAGGUCUAUAGGUCCAUUAGAUCCUGGAUAUAUCCCAUAUGGGUGGUAGUUCACGCCUGCUGAACUGUACGUCUAUAGGUCCAUUAGAUCCUGGAUAUAUCCCAUAUGGGUGGUAGUUCACGUCUGUUAAACUGUAGGUCUAUAGGUCCAUUAGAUCCUGGGUAGUUCACGUCUGUUAAACUGUAGGCCUAUAGGUCCAUUAGAUCCUGGAUAUAUCCCAUAUGGGUGGUAGUUCACGUCUGCUGAACUGUACGUCUAUAGGUUCAUUAGAUCCUGGGUAGUUCACGCCUGCUGAACUGUAGGUCUAUAGGUUCAUUAGAUCCUGGGUAGUUCACGCCUGCUGAACUGUACGUCUAUAGGUUCAUUAGAUCCUGGGUAGUUCACGCCUGCUGAACUGUAGGUCUAUAGGUUCAUUAGACCCUGGAUAUAUCUCAUAUGUGCGGUAGUUCAUGCCUGCUGAACUGUGUCUGUAGAUUCACUAGAUCUUGGAUAUCUUCCAUAUGGUUGGUAGUUCACUUCAUGUUCUUUUGUUGAUGCAUUCGGAGCAUGUUCGUUUUCUGAUUCUGAAUGUGUCCUAUAUGACUGGGAGUCACUUCAGCUAUAGUGUACGUAUAUAUUAUAUAGGUACAUGUAUAUUAGAAACAAAAUGGACAAUAUUUCACAAUUACGGGUAAUCGAAAAUCGAUUCAUCUUAAUUUUCCUCUAGGUAACUAGUUUUUCAGUUACAUGAAUUUUUAUGAACGUAAGCACUGAAUUGCCUAAUCAGGUACAUGAAACUGGCACUGAGCAGUAUUCAUCAAGUUUCGCGGUUCGUGUUAAUUCAAAGAUGCGUAACCGACACGUUAACAGAACUACGUUUUGCGUUAAAUAGUGUGCCCUGAAACCAUGUUCCUUUUCUGUUCCUCUAAGAUUUAAUGAAUAGGGGGUUUCUGACUUUUCUGAAUUCUGAAUUCUGAAUUUAUCUAGAUGUAUGAUGGUAUAGCAAGUGAUAUACCAAAGGUCGUGGUGUGUGCUAAAAACUUGUUUUUUAUUUGCUUUUUAUAAUAACCUCAAUGGACUCAUUCUUUAACUGAUCACAUCUUAUGAGAUCAGAUUUUGUUAAACAAACAGAUCACAUCUUGGCCCAGAUUCUAAUUUAAAUAGUUGUUUAUCUUGUAAUAUAAAUGCAUUAAGAGUAGGUAGGCCUAUUCAAUAAACUUUAGCACGAGCGGGAUGUAGCCCAGUGGUCAAGCGCUUGCUUGAUGCGCGGUCGGUCUGGGAUCGAUUCUCGUCGGUGGGCCCAUUGAGCCAUUUCUCGUUCUGGCCAGUGAAACAAGAGUGGUAUAUCAAA